AUGCUGCCACUUGCGGAUGAGGUGGUAAUACCCAAGCUAUCUCUGGCUGCUUACUGGCAUUAACAACAGCUGGUCUGUAAGCCGCCUGAAAUAGUACCCCCUGGUAUUGGGGCUGACCAUUUGCCGGUGUCAUAGGAUUUUGUAACACCGGUGUCAUUACAGGCCCUUGUAAGCCUGUUACAGGUUGCUCAUUACGAAGUCAAAAAUUGCCCUAUUCGGGCAAUAUUCUCGUUGGAGGCCGUGAUUGCGGCCAAGACUGCAUCUAACCGUGCAGUGCUUCUAUUACUAUUUUGGUCCAAUACUUGUAAGACCCGUGUCAUUUGUCCAAGCGCUUGAGUCAAACUAGGUUCUUGUUGGUCAGAUUGACCACUAGUCUCACAUUCGAUAGGUAAGAUCGCUUGUCGUUCUCCAGCAUUAUCCGAAUUGCUGGGUUGAUCGCUCCCGGAAUUUCUAGGAACGAUCCUAUAGAGUAAAUUCAUGGUGUUAUCAUCAGCCAUAAUUUCAAUAAAAAUAAAAAUUUACCUAAAUUGUUGUCCCACUGGGCGUGCCAAAAUUUGUUAGGAGCCGAACGUCCUGACCCUUGACCUGGUCAAAGAUCUCCUUCGGGAAGAGUGUAGGGACUCGGAGCGGCUACGAUUAAUGACCCUCAAAGUUUGCGCCCUUUGACUAGAUCAAGCGAUUCGGCUGAUGAGAGAUCAUAUCAGCCGAGUUCGAAAAUCUUCACUCUAAAACCGGUUCGGCUGAAUGAGCUGAAUGUACAGACUGUAUAGGACUAGGGUCGGCUGAUGAGCCGAAUGGAUGGAACAACACAGCAACUGGUCGGCCGAAAGAGCCGAAUGCUUUUAUAUAUUAAAUUGAAAUUGGGAACUCAUACAAAAUAGAGUGUGCUCGAAGGGCAUACAGACUGAAAAUCUAGAUUACAAUAGAGUGUGCCCGUGGGGCAUUACAAACUCCAAAGAUCUAAUUUAAAACUACUCCUAGGAAAGCAGUAAAUGCGAGAACGUAAAAGAUUACAAGUAGAUUACUCCUAGAAAACGAUAAAUGCAGGAAAGGAAAGUAUUGAAAAUGCGGUGGUAUUCUCGUUCAGGGGUGAGAAAGACCCCUUUUACAAGCUUCAAAGUUACUAUUUAUAAUAUCUUAUCAGCCCAAAUUAUUGGUUGGUUAUAGUAGUGGGGGAAGUGGUGUAGUCAUGAUCAUGGAAAUUACGCCCCACUUCUCAUGGAAGUUACGCCCCACUUCUCAUCCGUUCCCGCCUAAACGCUCUUGACCUUUAGGUGCUUUAUUGCCGACUCCUGGUGUACCACUUGUCCUUAUUUCUUUGGCUCACACGUGGGUUAGGUCGGCGUGUUAAUUUUUUGGUAUCAACAUUGCCCCCCCAAUAGUCUUUCGAAUGAACGUUCGAAUGACUAUUGGUGCAAAAUCAACGGCUCAAUGACACAGCCGAGACCCGAGCUUAAUUUCGCUAGCCUUGGUCGGCUUAAAGGAAACGACUCUUUACCAUCCUAGCCGUAUAUGCCUCGGCUUCAUCAACCAAUUUUUUGCUUUUACUCUAUUGGUUCUGCUCUUCUUGAACCAACUGUUAUUCUAUCAAGGAUUUCUCUUUGAAGAAAGUGGCUCUUUACCAGCCGCAUAUACCUCGGCUUCAUCAGCCGAUUCUUCACUUUCACUCGAUUGGCUCGGCUCUUCUUGAACCGACUGUUCUUCUAUCAAGGAUUUCUCUUUGCCUUUGCUUUGCUUUUUAUAUCAGCUCCAUUGCAGCCUAUUGUCCUCACUUUCCUGCCGAAAUUGCUCAUAUUGGGUAACUCGAACACCUAGAUCAAAUAGGUUAGAAAAAUAUUUAUCUUCAAAAUGGUAUUUUAUCUUAAAAUGCAGACCAUUUAACGCCAUUUUGGCGAACUCUGAUUCCGGAAUUCUCAUAAAGCACUGGGUUUUGGCUAUUUUGAAACGGUUCAAAUACUCUUCGACUGUUUCACCUGACUUUUGUCGGUAUAAAGCCAAGUCGGCAAUCGAUAAUUGUGGCUCCGACCUAUAGAAUUGCUCAUAAAAUUUUCUUUCUAAUUCGUCCCAAUCUUGGACGGAAUUGGUUGAUAAACUUGUAUACCAAGUAAACGCCGUUUUAGUUAACGAUGUGUUAAAUAAUCGAAGUUUCAAAAAUGAGUCAGCUGCCGCUUCUCUACAUUGGGCCGUGAACCGGGCUAUAUGCUCGAUCGUAUUCUCGGUCUUAUCGCCUGAGAACUUGUCGAACUUCGGUAUUUUCUAGUUUGCCGGAUACGGAUGCUCCACAUCGAUGUUCGCAGGAUAAGGAGAUCUAAACACAGGCCGCAUUGCCGGUCUUGCGCCAACUCUGAAAGUAUUUCGGAUGGCUUCUUCAAUCUGUGCGUAUAUUUCAUUAUUGUUUCCUGGCAAAGGAACCUGUGCUUGUACUACAUUCGGUCCUUGCGGUAGACCGAAAUUCGGUAUAACAGGGUUAACUCCUUGCAUAUUCGGAGCCUGCCCCUCAGCUCUAGCCCCUACAUUUUGGGGCUGAUAUGCUGCCACGGGCGGAUGAGGUGGUAAUACUCAAGCUAUCUCUGGCUGCUGACCGGCAUUAACAACAGCCGGUCUGUAAGCCGCCUGAAAUAGUACCUCCUGGUAUUGGGGCUGACUAUUUGUCGGUGUUACAGGAUUUUGUAACACCGGUGUCAUUACAGGCCCUUGUAAGCCUGUUACAGGUUGCUCAUUACGAAGUCAAUAAUUGCCCUAUUCGGGCAAUAUUCUCGUUGGAGGUCGUGAUUGCGGCCAAGACUGC
rnacentral:lncRNA from 1 species